rnacentral:rRNA from 1 species
CAAAGGAAUUGACGGGACCGCACAAGCGGUGGAUGAUGUGGAUUAAUUCGAUGCAACGCGAAAACCUUACCUACCCUUGACAUGUCUGGAACCUUGGUGAGAGCCGAGGGUGCCUUCGGGAGCCAGAACACAGGUGCUGCAUGGCUGUCGUCAGCUCGUGUCGUGAGAUGUUGGGUUAAGUCCCGCAACGAGCGCAACCCUUGUCACUAGUUGCCAUCAUUUAGUUGGGCACUCUAGUGAGACUGCCGGUGACAAACCGGAGGAAGGUGGGGAUGACGUCAAGUCCUCAUGGCCCUUAUGGGUAGGGCUUCACACGUCAUACAAUGGUCGGUACAGAGGGUUGCCAACCCGCGAGGGGGAGCUAAUCCCACAAAGCCGAUCGUAGUCCGGAUCGCAGUCUGCAACUCGACUGCGUGAAGUCGGAAUCGCUAGUAAUCGUGGAUCAGCCUGUCACGGUGAAUACGUUCCCGGGUCUU